CAGGGAAUCUUGCGCAAUGGACGGGAGUCCGACGCAGCGACGCCGCGUGGGUGAAGACGGCCUUCUGGUUGUAAAGCCCUUUUUCUGGGGGAAGAGAGAGGACGGUACUCCAGGAAUAAGUGUCGGCUAACUACGUGCCAGCAGCCGCGGUAAUACGUAGGACACGAGCGUUAUCCGGAUUUACUGGGCGUAAAGCGCCUGUAGGCGGUUCUUCAAGUCGUUUGUGAAAGCCCUGGGCCCAACCUGGGGAGGCCAAGCGAUACUGGAGGACUUGAGGGUGACAGAGGGGAGUGGAAUUUCCGGUGUAGCGGUAAAAUGCGCAGAUAUCGGGAGGAACACCAGUGGCGAAGGCGGCUCCCUGGGUCACCCCUGACGCUGAGAGGCGAAAGCUAGGGGAGCAAACAG
rnacentral:rRNA from 1 species